rnacentral:rRNA from 1 species
CCGUGCCUAAUACAUGCAAGUUGAACGCAACAAAGACACCAGAGCUUGCUCUACCGUCUUUGUUGAGUAGCGAACGGGUGAGUAACGCGUGGGUAACCUGCCUUAUAGCGGGGAUAACUAUUGGAAACGAUAGCUAAUACCGCAUAACAAUAGAGAUUGCAUAAUCUUUAUUUGAAAGUGCCAACUGGUACACUAUGAGAUGGACCCGCGUUGUAUUAGCUAGUUGGUAGUGUAAUGGACUACCAAGGCGAUGAUACAUAGCCGACCUGAGAGGGUGAUCGGCCACAUUGGGACUGAGACACGGCCCAAACUCCUACGGGAGGCAGCAGUAGGGAAUCUUCGGCAAUGGACGAAAGUCUGACCGAGCAACGCCGCGUGAGUGAAGAAGGUUUUCGGAUCGUAAAACUCUGUUGUUAGAGAAGAAUGUUGAUUAGAGUGGAAAAUUAAUCAAGUGACGGUAUCUAACCAGAAAGGGACGGCUAACUACGUG